GACUACCCGCUGAACUUAAGCAUAUCACUAAGCGGAGGAGAAGAAACUAACCAGGAUUCCCUCAGUAACGGCGAGUGAAGAGGGAAGAGCCCAGCGCCGAAUCCCCGCCCCGCGGUGGGGCGCGGGAGGUGUGGCGUACGGAAGCCCCCAUCCCCGGCGCCGCUCUCGGGGGGCCCAAGUCCUUCUGAUCGAGGCCCAGCCCGCGGACGGUGUGAGGCCGGUAGCGGCCCCCGGCGCGCCGGGCCCGGGUCUUCCCGGAGUCGGGUUGCUUGGGAAUGCAGCCCAAAG
rnacentral:rRNA from 1 species